AACAAAUGAUAAUACUUCGGAUUUGAAGAAAAUCAAAAUUUUAUUAUUAUAUGUAUUUUAUAUUUGAAAGAACGGUAGAAUUUUCAAGCGAUAAGGAGAAACGUAAGUACGGCCGAACGAUAAGGUGGAAGGGGAAACGGACGAAGAGGAUUCCCUUCCCGCCAAGAAACCUAAGGAUACGGAAAGAAACUGGAGGGGACUUUCCGUUAAAAUAUGGCGAAACAGGAAGACGCGAAGAACGAUGGAAUUCUUCAGUGGAAGAGAACCAUGAAAUAUGACUAUGUAUCUCAUCAAAUUACGUUCGAUUGAAGACAGAAAGCUGAAUCUAAGAGGGUGAAUUUUCGUAAUGGCAUACACGCGCCGUGUGUAUAUCGGCGAUACGAGGAAAGAGGGCAUAGAAAACUCGCAGAACUGCAUCAUCCAAUCAAAGGGACGAAUCGACUAAGACUAGGUGGUGGGGGUAAACGUAGGGAUUGGCAGACGCUAUGAUACAUGUUUGUAGAAGGGAUGUGUUCGUGCUGCGUAAAGCACACGAAAAGGGGAAAGAGAAGCACGAAGAAGCAGCGUGCCUGGAUAUAUCGUGCAUGGACUACACAGCCACUGGUGAAAUUCAAAAUUAUUAAAAACAAUCUAAAUAUUAAAGUUCAAGAUAAAUGGAAAAAAAAAGACAAUGUACGUAUAAUUAAAUUCCAAUAGUAAUAUUACAAAUCAUAGGCAUCAAGAUCGUACUGUUUCAAGGUAAAACGUUUCAUAUUAACAUACGUCUUUAUCAAACGGACCGUAAUAUCUCAUUUCAUAAACUUGAUGAUUAAGCAUAACGUAUCAAUAUCAAUGUCAAGUUAAUCUCUAUAAUAAAAAUCAAUGGUUACUAUCUUAACGUUACUCAAGCUAUUGUAACGAAGCGUAAGCACAACACCCAUCAAAUAAUAUUCUUGUCUCGUCUUACUAUAAGAAAGGACACUUGUAAUUUAUAAAACCGCUGUGAUUCAGGAUAGUACAGAGCGAUUAUGAUACGUCCCUCUGAAACUUGAUGCGCUUUUUCUUUGAACAAGAAUCUGUUGGCAACUGCUACUACCGCUAUAUGCAUUCAUGGCGUUGUCGAGUAGUUUACAACGAACGGUAAGUGACAGUGACGUACAGACGUCUAGUGGUCAUGAAACGACGAUGCUAUUUGUUAUCCCACAAACACGAUUACCUAUCAACGUAUUCCUAAUCACGAGGUCUUUCCAGAUAACCCAACGCUUAUAACCUAUUGCAUAGAUUCAUUUCACUUCUCUCGACUCGAGUAAGCCAUGAACAAUUCGUUAUAUAAUUCUUCUGUAACACGUAUUAAUUUGAUCGUAUUGUGCUAUUAAAGAGAUUUUUACAUACGAAUGAAAGUUAAUCGACGCUACAGAACAGAAAACUAACAAAUUUCAAUAGAAAUAAUAAUAAUCUACGCAAUAAGAUACAUUAACAGUAACAUAAGAUCCAUGUUCCUGCUUUCCAUAAGAAAAAAUAUAUUCAUUUUUUAUUGCAAUAAAUUAAAGAAUGUUAGGUCUCGUAUAAGGUCACAAUAUUGAACAAAUACAUUGAGAUUUCAAGUGUUAUUUGAAAUUCCCGCCUUUUUCCCGUCUUCCAUAUUCGCCUCUACCAUAGUGUCCGUGAGUUGUAAAUAACAUUCAUCAUAUUUGCUACGUAACUACAUAAUCAGAGCGCAACGGUAACAUAUCAAAUCAGAAUGAAAGCAAAUUUUAUGUAGGAUAAAACACUCGUAUUUACUGCAAUCGACACGAAGCGUGAAAAAAAAAAAAGAAGAACAAACAGAAUUCCUCCUGGGCGAAGACACCACCACCACCACAGGGCUUUCUACCAAUGUGAACGGAAACUAUCGAAGAUACCGGCAUUUUCGGCUAAGAA